rnacentral:rRNA from 1 species
UGAGGGAAUAUUGGGUCAAUGGACGCAAGUCUGAACCAGCCAUGCCGCGUGAAGGAAUAAGGCCCUAUGGGUCGUAAACUUCUUUUGUAUGUGAGCAAUAAGGUCCACGUGUGGACCGAUGAGAGUAGCAUACGAAUAAGCAUCGGCUAACUCCGUGCCAGCAGCCGCGGUAAUACGGAGGAUGCAAGCGUUAUCCGGAUUCAUUGGGUUUAAAGGGUGCGUAGGCGGCUUGGUAAGUCAGCGGUGAAAUUCCAGUGCUCAACAUUGGCCGUGCCGUUGAUACUGCUGGGCUUGAAUGCGGAUGCCGUGGGAGGAAUGUGUGGUGUAGCGGUGAAAUGCUUAGAUAUCACGAAGAACUCCGAUUGCGAAGGCAGCUUACCGUAGCGUUACUGACGCUGAAGCUCGAAAGUGCGG